rnacentral:rRNA from 1 species
AGUGGGGAAUAUUGGACAAUGGGCGAAAGCCUGAUCCAGCCAUGCCGGCGUGUGUGAAGAAGGUCUUCGGAUUGUAAAGCACUUUAAGUUGGGAGGAAGGGCAGUAAAUUAAUACUUUGCUGUUUUGACGUUACCGACAGAAUAAGCACCGGCUAACUCUGUGCCAGCAGCCGCGGUAAUACAGAGGGUGCAAGCGUUAAUCGGAAUUACUGGGCGUAAAGCGCGCGUAGGUGGUUCGUUAAGUUGGAUGUGAAAUCCCCGGGCUCAACCUGGGAACUGCAUUCAAAACUGACGAGCUAGAGUAUGGUAGAGGGUGGUGGAAUUUCCUGUGUAGCGGUGAAAUGCGUAGAUAUAGGAAGGAACACCAGUGGCGAAGGCGACCACCUGGACAUGAUACUGACACUGAGGUGCA